rnacentral:rRNA from 1 species
GUUUUAUAGGGGAAAAAGUGAUUUCAAUUUCUUUUUUUAUACUUAGAGGGGAAGCUAUAGUAUAAAAUUAGUAAAAGAUUCAUUUAUUGUACCUUUUGUAUCAGGGUUAAUUUAUAUUUAAAUUUAAGAAUUUUUUCUCGAAAAUGAAAGAUUUAGGUAGUUAUUGUGUUAAUGUUUAAUUAUUAUGUUUAAUAAUUACCUAGUUUUGAAAAAAAUCCAGAUUUUUUUUAUCUAGUUACUUUUUGGUUAAUUAAAUUAAUUUUACUUAUGUUAAUUUUGUAUAAGUAAAUAAUAUUCUUAGGGAUAAGCUUGAGAUUGAAUAAUUUAGCUUUUUUUAAGAAAUAAUUUUAUAAGUUUAAGAUUAGCAAGUUUUUUAAUAUUUAAAAAUCAACUUAAUUUUUUUAAAAAUUUAAUAGUAGCUUUAAGGGGAAGUAAAGUUACUUUAUUUAAUUAAGAAAUUAAGAUAAUAAUGAUUAAAUUAGUAGAAGUAGAAAAAUAUAAAAUAAGAAUUCGGCAAAAAUAAUUUUUGACUGUUUAACAAAAACAUUUCUGGGAGAAAAAUGUUUUUAGUGUAACCUGCUCAAUGCUUUAGUAAAUAGCUGCAGUAUUUUGACUGUACAAAGGUAGCAUAAUCAUUAGUCUUUUGAUUGAAGGCUUGUAUGAAUGGUUGAACAGAAUAUUAACUUUUCUUUUAUAUGAUAUUUUAAUUUAUCGUUUAUGUAAAAAUGCAUAUAUAAUUGAAAGGGACGAUAAGACCCUAUAGAAUUUAAAAAUAAAAUAUGGAAUAUUUUCUUUUUUUGUUGGGGUGAUAAUGAAUAAACGUUUAUAAAAUUUUCAUUAAUAGAUGAUUAAGUGAUCCUAUUAAUUUAGAUACAAAGAUAAAAUUACCUUAGGGAUAACAGCAUAAUUUUUUUUAAAAGAUCAUAUUAAUAAAAAAGAUUAUGACCUCGAUGUUGAAUUAAAAUACAAGUUUGGUGUAGAAGCUAAAUUUUUUAGUCUGUUCGACUUUAUAUUUUACAUGAUUUGAGUUCAGACCGGCGUGAGCCAGGUUGGUUUCUAUCUUUUUAUUUAAGUUAUUGUUUAGUACGAAAGGACCAAUAAUAUUAAUUUUUAUUAUUUUUAUAGAAUAACAUAAUAUUAUUAGU